rnacentral:rRNA from 1 species
AGUAACCUGCCUUGGAUGGGGAAUACAAUUGGAACAACUGCUAAUACCGCAUGAUGCAGUUGGGUCGCAUGGCUCUGACUGCCAAAGAUUUAUCGCUCUGAGAUGGACUCGCGUCUGAUUAGCUAGUUGGUGAGGUAACGGCUCACCAAGGCGACGAUCAGUAGCCGGACUGAGAGGUUGGCCGGCCACAUUGGGACUGAGACACGGCCCAGACUCCUACGGAAGGCAGCAG